GGCAGUUCUCGGGUGACGAACCCUGGAAUCGGGCUCCCUCUUCUCUGGUUCCAGGUGCAUCACCUGAGAACUGCA
rfam:Myotis brandtii contig293492, whole genome shotgun sequence.